rnacentral:rRNA from 1 species
AUUGAACGCUGGCGGCAGGCCUAACACAUGCAAGUCGAGCGAGCGGCGGACGCGGGAGUAUUGUGUGUGGGUCUGCGCGCUAUGGAGGGGUAACUCCUGGAGACGGUAGCUCAUACCGCGUACUCUCGGGUGAACCCCUAUGGGAUUAGCUCGGAGGUGGGGUAAUGGCGCACCUCGGCGACGAUCCCUAGCUGGUCUGAGAGGAUGAUCAGCCACACUGGGACUGAGACACGGUCCAGACUCCUACGGGAGGCAGCAGUGGGGAAUAUUGCACAAUGGGCGCAAGCCUGAUGCAGCCAUGCCGCGUGUAUGAAGAAGGCCAUAGGGUUGUAAAGUACUUUCAGCGGGGAGGCGUUACCGACAGAAGAAGCACCGGCUAACUCCGUGCCAGCAGCCGCGGUAAUUC